GAUCCAAUUUCAGAGGAAGCUUCUCACGGCUGCUCCUAUCAAACUCCACGCUGCCUGGCUGAGCCUGCCCCGUUUCUCCUCCCAGGCCCAGGUGAGAGGAAGAUGAAGGUCCUGCUGGUGCUGACGAUGCUGUUUGCCUGCAGUGUGUUCUCGGCGCACGGGAAGCACCCACGCCCGUUCACACCGGGACUCGAGGGAAGCACCGUGGGAAACCUGACUGCGCAUGGAUGCUACAGGGGAUGGGGCACCUCGAGGGCUUCGGUGGAUCGGUGCUGCCUGCUCCGAGCCUGCUGCUAUGCCCGGCUGGCAGCGCGGCGCUGCCCAGCGGGACCGGCCCAGCCGCUGUCUGCGCCCCGGGCAGGGAUCCCCGCCUGCAGUUCGGGGACGCGCUGCCAGCGAGGCGCCUGCAGGUGCGAGAGGGCGAUGCUGCUGUGCCGGGCUCGCCUGGGCCGGGCUCAGCUCCGCCGCCGCGCCGGGUGCCGGGGACGAGCCGGGCGCUGCUGAACCGAGAACUCCCAGUGCGGAACCAUCUCCGGGCUGAUCGGCGAAGGGAUGGAGCCGGCAGCGCCUCCCAGCCCUGCCGAGUCUCCCUCUCGGGGCCUUUGGGCUUCCAGGCCAGGACAGGAGUCCUCCGGGGCAGCCGCAUGCGAGGAGAGGCAGCGGCGCUCCCCGAGGUGCAGCACGGCAAAACAAGGGAGGAGGGGACCCCUGGCCCUGUCCCGGGAUGGGGAGCGUCCCCCGGGCAGCCUGUCCGCUCCCUCUGCUUCUGCUUCUCAGCAAAUUCCCUCCUGUUGCUCCAAAAUAAAAGCAGAGAGCCCAAAGCAGCGGUUCGCAGCGUGCAGUGACUCGGCUGAGCCCAGCGA
rnacentral:lncRNA from 1 species